GCCGGGGUGACUGAGAAGAUAGGUGGUGGGCUGCAGACCCACAUACGUCGGUUCAAUUCCGAUCCCCGGCUCCA
rnacentral:tRNA from 1 species